AUGAAGCGGUUUGGCAGCCUCAGAGGAAGCAAGAAGCGAAAGGACCAAGGCCGGAGCUCCGAGAGGCGCAAAUCUGAACCCCAUGGCCUUCUAGCCUCUGGCCUGUCCUCUUCUCCAUCAACCCCAACGCAAGCGACCAAACAGCCAACAUUUCCUCUGGAAUCCUACAAACAUGAACCUGAAAGGCUAGAAACACGGAUCUACACGCCCUCCUCUCCUCCGGACACCGGCCAGAGGCUCGGUCAGCCUCCCGGACAAAGCGUGGCCAAGCCCCCCACCCCAGCGCCCACCCCCUGUGCUACCUCAAAAGCAGUAAGUAUGGAGUGUUGUUUUCUUUUUAAGAAUAGCAAGGCACUGUAUAUUAGCACUGGUGCUUUGGAAGGUUCAGAUGCUUAUGAUAGGUUAUCUCCUUGUGGCACUUACAGUAACAAUAUAAAAUAGAUAUGUUUUAUUAUUAUGACGAUAUCGCUAGCAUGCAAGGGGUACAAAAACUGAGGAUGAAAUUCGUGCCUCACUCUUCCAACAAAAUCAAGGUACAGGAAAAUUUCUUUCAAUUCUAUCAUAGCCCUGCAAUCCUUUGUGAGUGGGAGUGAGCCCACUGAGCUCAAGAGGUUUUGCUUCUGAACAAAUACACAUAGGCUCCACAAUUAUCUGUAGUUUUUUUUUUCUUUUCUGAGAUGCGCCUACAUUUUGCUCUGCAUGCUGAGAAGUCUAGACACUUGACUCAUCUGUUGUGGCCAUUAUUUAUUGCCAUUACAGUCAGGUUCACAAAUGUGCUGGUUUCUCUUUCACAGAUUUAAUUAUUUAUGAGUUUGUAGCUGCUGCUUAGCUGGCUGGACUUCCUUGCCCCACUUCCUCUGCUGACCCUUUGCCUCUCCAUCGCUGUUUUCUCAACAGCACCAGCACUUCAUCUCCUUCCCACCACAAAGCCUCCUUUAGAUUUUAAACCCCUUUCUUUAUCACUUCCUAGUGGAAAAGUUGGAAAGAGAAGGGUCUAAAGCAGGCAUGGGCAAACUUGGGCCCUCCAGGUGUUUUGGACUUCAACUUCCACAAUUCCUAACAGCCAAUAGGUUGUUAGGAACUGUGGGAGUUGAAGUCCAAAACACCUGGAGGGCCAAAGUUUGCCCAUGCCUGGUCUAAAGUCUCUGGAUAAGGCUUUGCAGUGGUAAGGUGAUGGAGAAGACGAGGGGCCGUUGGGAGGAUAGCAAUGUAGGGAUGAAGGAUCAGCAGACGGAGUGGGACAAAGAGAUGGAUAGGAGCAGUGGUUCCCAACCUUUGGGCCUCCAGGUGUUUUGGACUUCAACUCCCAGAAAUCCCAGCCAGCUUACCAGCUGUUAGGAACUGUGGGAGCUGAAGUCUAGAGGCCCAAAGGUUUGGAGCCACUGGAUUUGAGGGAAAUAGUUUUAAAAUCUGAGAUAGGGGGUCAGGGCUGUUGGUAGUUAACAAUUCUCUAGCAUGCUUUUUUAUUUUAUUUUACAAUAUCCACAUUUUGUCCACUUUCCCCAGGGGUUCCCAUGCCAUGCCUCCAUAAAUCCCAUGCCUCCAUAAAUGUGUGGGUCUGACUGUGUUAUCUUCAAGAGAUGCAGUAUUUAAUUUACAGAAGACAGUAUUCAGUUGUAAAAUAAUGGCAAAGCUAUGUUAGUAACUUGGGUUCCUUCUCCAGAUCCAACUUGUUCUGCAUAAUGUGUGACAUUUUUGGCGAUGCGCUCCACCAUCUGGCAUCAUUAUCCCCAUGAUGUUCAAGAACAGAUCCUUCCUUAGGCAAAUGGAAAUAAAGUGCACAUCUCUUUUAAAAUCCUUUGCUUUGAAAAUAUAACUUUAUCAGUAGACAACAUAAUUUUGCUGAAGCUCAAAGGUUUAGAGGACUGCAUUUGUACCGUUUCUAUAGCAUAGGUCUGAUCAGAAUUAACUGUUACUAUAGAACUAUGUACAGUAGAGUCUCACUUAUCCAAGCUAAACGGGCCGGCAGAAGCUUGGAUAAGUGAAUAUCUUGGAUAAUAAGGAGGGAUUAAGGAAAAGCCUAUUAAACAUCCAAUUAGGUUAUGAUUUUACAAAUUAAGCACCAAAACAUCAUGUUAGACAACAAAUUUGACAGAAAAAGUAGUUCAACGUGCAGUAAUGUUAUGUUGUAAUUACUGAAUUUACAAAUUUAGCACCAAAAUAUCACGAUAUAUUGAAAACAUUGACUACAAAAAUGGCUUGGAUUAUCCAGAGGCUUGGAUAAGCGAGGCUUGGAUUAGUGAGACUCUACUGUAAUUAAUUUUCAGUCUUCCAAAUAUAUGCACAUGCUUGUUUCAGUCAAAAUCUCCAGUGCUUUACAUAAUUCGAUACAGAUAUAUUUGGGACACACAUCUGUUCCCGUAUACUGUCAUUUCAGUUUAAAUGUGGGAUGAUAUAUUGAUGGGAAGAACUCUAAUUUGGCGCUGAUAUGCCUAAGGAAGGAAGAACGCUACCAAAUGAUUUUGCUAAAUGUUUGGGAGAGCCCUAAGUAGAAUACAGUUGAUGCAGUAGUCAAGUGUGACAAAUGUUUAGCCCACCAUCAAAAACAAGCAGAAUAUACAGAGAUCUAGCAACAAUGAAAACUGCUGGGAAUUCACUAUAGAAAGCGAGUUUCAUAGUUGCAGAGCAUCUACUGAGAAUUGCUAUGCAUUUUUUCCUACUUUGAAGAGGUGAAGUUGAGAAGUAUUGCGUUGAGCUGAGAAACCACAGCAAUGGACAGAGGAGGAAGUCACUAAUCCUUGCAAGGGUCUAAUAUUGUUGUGCAUAGUAUUCUCUUCUGAGUCACAUAGCUCUGUAUAAAAGUCCCAACAGUCCACCAUCUAAACCAGACACAUCCAUACCAUGAGAAAAUUGUUUAAACAAAGGCAGUUCCAGAAGCAAGGUCAUAAGGCAUUACAGAGGUCAAGCCAACUGAGACUUACCAGAAAACAAAUAAAUGGAGUAAAGGUGAGUUAGAGCCAAGGAGGAAUCACUGAAGUUUGGACACAGAGGUCAAAUAAGUCAAGCAAGAAUAGUCUAACAGGAUCAUAGUCCAUAUUUAGAUAUCAAGACAAGAGGAAAGGAGUUAGGAACUGUUGGUGAGCUUUAGGUUACUAUUGUUGUUCCUAUCGGGAACUGAGGCUUUCAUGGCUGAGAUACCCGAGACACACUCAGCAGACUCAGUUGUAGGCAUUUUAACAUAAGGCCUCCGCAGGAACAUAGCUCUCAUCUCAUAGAGACCACCUUCUGAGGAGUCUCUUACUCAUGAGGAAUCAUGCCGUGCUAAUGUGCACUUGAUAGGAUCCUCUCCAGCUUCACUCAUGCUUUCAUCCUAUGUUGCUGCAAUGUAUCUGAAGGAGGCUCUGCCUCACUCUCAGACCCUGGAGUUGGGUUUCCUCUGUCUUCAGGCAGGACUUCCACUACCUUCCUGGGGCCCCAGAAAUUCCUCCAGAAGCAAUCUCUACAUCAUUGUUUCUCAACCUGUGGGUCCCCAGGGGUUUUGACCUACAAUUCCUGGAAAUCCCAGCCAGUUUACCAGCUGUUAAGAUUUCUAAGAGUUGAAGGCCAAAACAUCUAGGGAUCCACAGGUUGAGAACCACUGCCCUACAUGGAGGAUGUGACCUAUCAAAGCUGAGGGGGACCCAGUGCAGAUGAAGAACUAUCUAUAUAUAUAAAAGAGUGAUGGAAUCAGGGCACCGGACAAAACAACAAAACUACAGGCUCCCCAACCUCGAAAUUUGACAACACAACCCAUCAUCCAUGGCUCUAGGUUGAUACAACAAAAAGAAAAGAAAAAUAAAGUCCUAAUUAAAGGGAGAGCAAUAAUUGUUUUUAUUCAAUUGCUGUCAGUUAGAGGGCUAAGCUCCACACAUAGACCCCCUCUAUCGUCACCACUUUCGCAGUACACAAACAACCAAAUGCAUACUAAACAUAAAGACAACCAUACAACACACAUUCAAUACCACCACUACCUCAACAAUUUCUCACCAACACCACCAGACAACACCACAGCAACGCGUGGCCGGUCACAGCUAGUUUCCCUUCUAAAAGGCUGAAGGAUUAUACAGAUGGUAGACCAAAUAAAUAACUGUGGUGAGGCACAGGUCCCCUAUACUCUAGGAGUCUAGAGAAACUAAGAGAGUGAUGUUGAAAAAUGAAUCAAGG
rnacentral:lncRNA from 11 species